rnacentral:rRNA from 1 species
GACGAACGCUGGCGGCGUGCUUAACACAUGCAAGUCGAACGGAAAGGCCCUGCUUUUGUGGGGUGCUCGAGUGGCGAACGGGUGAGUAACACGUGAGUAACCUGCCCUUGACUUUGGGAUAACUUCAGGAAACUGGGGCUAAUACCGGAUAGGAGCUCCUGCUGCAUGGUGGGGGUUGGAAAGUUUCGGCGGUUGGGGAUGGACUCGCGGCUUAUCAGCUUGUUGGUUGGGUAGUGGCUUACCAAGGCUUUGACGGGUAGCCGGCCUGGGAGGGUGACCGGCCACAUUGGGACUGGGAUGCGGCACAGACUACUCCGGGAGGCAGAAGAGGAGAAUAGUGCACUAUGGGCGGAAGCCUGAUGCAGCAACGCCGCGUGCGGGAUGACGGCCUUCGGGUUGUAAUCCGCUUUCGCCUGUGACGAAGCGUGAGUGACGGUAAUGGGUAAAGAAGCACCGGCUAACUACGUG